ACAGAGGCAAUGGAGUAGUAUGUGAGGAAGAUGGGAAUAAACUCAGCAAAGGAAACCGUAAAGGAGGAGAGACUACUCAUUACCAAAACCCUAAAUAUUUUCAAGGAAGAGUUGAUUCCAAAGCCGGAGUAGCAAAAAGCUAAGGACAACAUCUGAACACCAACUUCCUGCCAUGGAACUAAGCAUUGCUGUCUCCACAGUCACCAAAUUGCCAGAGCUCACUGAGCUGGAAAGUUAUCAUGCUUAAUGAAGAUUUUGUUUACAUCCUAUUUUUUUUGUUGUCCCCAUGGUGAUUCUCCUGCUUACAAAGCCACCUAAAAUAAACUCCCUUUUAAUCAUACUCA